ACUCAAAUGAAUAGACGGGGGCCCGCACAAGCGGUGGAGUAUGUGGUUUAAUUCGACGCAACGCGAAGAACCUUACCAACCUUUGACAUGUCCAGUAUGGGUCUAAGAGAUUAGAUCCUUCAGUUCGGCUGGCUGGAACACAGGUGCUGCAUGGCUGUCGUCAGCUCGUGUCGUGAGAUGUUGGGUUAAGUCCCGCAACGAGCGCAACCCUCAUCUUCAGUUGCCCCCGGGUCAGGCCGGGCACUCUGAAGAAACCGCCGGUGACAAGCCGGAGGAAGGCGGGGAUGACGUCAAGUCCUCAUGGCCCUUACAGGUUGGGCUACACACGUACUACAAUGGUGGUGACAGUGGGAUGCAAUGCCGCGAGGCGGAGCCAAUCCACAAAAACCAUCUCAGUUCAGAUUGCACUCUGCAACUCGGGUGCAUGAAGUUGGAAUCGCUAGUAAUCGCAGAUCAGCACGCUGCGGUGAAUACGUUCCCGGGCCUUGUACACACCGCCCGU
rnacentral:rRNA from 1 species